rnacentral:tRNA from 2 species
GCCGCCGUAGCUCAGCCGGCAGAGCGCCGGGCUCAUAACCCGGAGGUCGCGGGUUCGAAUCCCGCCGGCGGCA